AUUGAACGCUGGCGGCAGGCCAAACACAUGCAAGUCGAGCGGGAUUUACCUUCGGGUAAUGAGAGCGGCGGACGGGUGAGUAAUGCUUGGGAAUCUACCUAGUAGUGGGGGACAACAGUUGGAAACGACUGCUAAUACCGCAUACGCCCUACGGGGGAAAGGGGGGGAUCUUCGGACCUCUUGCUAUUAGAUGAGCACAAGUCGGAUUAGCUAGUUGGUGGGGUAAAGGCCUACCAAGGCGACGAUCCGUAGCUGGUUUGAGAGGAUGAUCAGCCACACUGGGACUGAGACACGGCCCAGACUCCUACGGGAGGCAGCAGUGGGGAAUAUUGGACAAUGGGCGCAAGCCUGAUCCAGCCAUGCCGCGUGUGUGAAGAAGGCCCUAGGGUUGUAAAGCACUUUAAGUAGGGAGGAAGGUCUGGUAAUUAAUACUUAUCAGGAUUGACGUUACCUACAGAAUAAGCACCGGCUAACUCCGUGCCAGCCGCCGCGGUAA
rnacentral:rRNA from 1 species